AACGUACGCUGGCGGCACGCCUAACACAUGCAAGUCGAACGCAGUAGCAAUACUGAGUGGCAGACGGGUGAGUAACACGUGGGAAUCUGCCUUGUGGUUCAGGACAACAUUGGGAAACCGAUGCUAAUACUGGAUAAGCCCUUACGGGGAAAGUUUUAAUGCCAUAAGAUGAGCCCGCAUUUGAUUAGUUAGUUGGUGAGGUUAUGGCUCACCAAGACAAUGAUCAAUAGCUGAUCUGAGAGGAUGAUCAGCCACACUGGGACUGAGACACGGCCCAGACUCCUACGGGAGGCAGCAGUGGGGAAUCUUGCACAAUGGAGAAAACUCUGAUGCAGCGAUGCCGCGUGAGUGAAGAAGGCCUUUGGGUUGUAAAGCUCUUUUGUAGGGGAAGAUAAUGACUGUACCCUAAGAAUAAGGUCCGGCUGACUUCGUGCCAGCAGCCGCGGUAA
rnacentral:rRNA from 1 species